rnacentral:misc_RNA from 1 species
UUGUGGAGGAGGACGCCGAAGGUGGGGCUAAUGACUGGGGUGAAGUCGUAACAAGGUAGCCGUACCGGAAGGUGCGGCUGGAUCACCUCCUAACAGGGAGACAACAAAAUGUUUAAUAUUAUUAUUUUGUCACCUUAGGUCGAUCGGUAUCUCACGUUUUUAAUUUAUUAAGAAUUUCAUUUCCUAAGUUUUUCUAGGUCACACCCAUUAUUUUUCCUGGGCCAUUAGCUCAGGUGGUUAGAGCGCACCCCUGAUAAGGGUGAGGUCCCUGGUUCAAGUCCAGGAUGGCCCAUAUCUCUAUGUUGGGGGUAUAGCUCAGUUGGUAGAGCGCCUGCUUUGCAAGCAGGAUGUCAGCGGUUCGAGUCCGCUUACCUCCACUGAUUACCACCUCUUCCAUAACCGGUAGAAAGGAAAUGUUUUGAGUUGUGAUCAAAUUCUGAAGGAUUCUAGCUUCCUAAUGAAAUCAUUAAGAUGCUGGACUCAUUGAAUUAAUUUCAUUGUUUUCAGAGAACCUUGACAACUGCAUAGAUUAUUUUUAAAGACAAUAAGCAUCUUUAAUGAUGCAGAUUUAUUAUUUGUGCAAAUGCAUUAAUAACAAUUCUAUUAAGCUGAUGCUUCAAUUUUUGAAGUUAUUGGUCAAGCUACAA